rnacentral:lncRNA from 1 species
CAGUGUUCUCCCCAGGAUUUUUGGAUAGCACCAGGGUAACGCGUGUCGACAUGAUUUGUACAAUAUGUUGUGUCGCGUUGCAUCGCUUAUUUUUUCUUCUUGUUAGUUUUUGUGCCAUUACCUUUUCGUCUUUUGUUUUGUUUACUGUGUUAUGUAGACUUUGGGUAAAAAAAAUACUGGUAAAAAAAAGUAAAUCAAACAGUUAGUAUACUUUAAUAUCUUUUAAGAAUAAAUAAAAGAAAGCACUUUUAGUCUUUAAACUAGUCACUUUUUAUACUUUGAUCAAGCCAAUUUUGUCCUGAUACUUGCACAUAUAGUUACACUACACAUUCCCCACUUUUGUUAGAUUACACCAUAACAAUUAACUUUAAACAAGAUUAAAUUUUA